GUGAAGAUAUUGUAAACAUUGUUAAAAUGACAACAAAGUAUUCAGAAUAUUCCAUAAACUUAGUUGAUAAAGCAACAGCAGAGUUUUAGAGGAUUGAGUCUAAUUUUCAAAGAAGUCCUGUGAGUAAAAUGCUAUCAAACAGUAUCGCAUGCUACAGAAAUCUUUGGUGAAUCAAAGACUCAAUCGAUGUAGCAAACUUCAUUGUUGCCUUAAGAAAUUGCCACAGCCACGACUCUGAUCAGUCAGCAGCCAUCAACAUCAAGGCAAGACACUCCACCAGCAAAAGGAUUAUGACUCACUAAAGACUCAGAUAUCGAAUCAAUCUAAUAGUGGUGGGUGGAUACAAGAAAGAUAGAUUGCUCUUAUUUCUAAAACCAAAGAUAUGGGGUAAAUGAACAAAAUCAUGGAUAGAGAGAAGGUGAUUCUAAACACUGCUGCCAGGAUGAUAUUUCUAAAACAGUUAACUGAGAAUACCACUUCCCUGCUUAAAUUCGUUCAACUGUCACCUCCAGCAUAAAAUCUGAAAUCCUUAGUAUGGAACAACUUGCAGUCAAUCCCAUUUAUUGUGGAAUCCUGAACCAUUGGCCAUUCUCUGAAUAUCUCUCAGAUUCUCCCACUUCUAAGUCUUUGUUCCUGCUAAUUUAUUUCGUACUCUGAUCACAUGUUGAAAACCUACUUAUUCUAUAAAUUUUAAUUUAAUAUAUUUCCUCCUCCCACUGGCACUUUUUUUUUUUGAGAUGGAGUUU